AAGUAGAGGCAACCUAUAGAAUGGCCUGUUCCAGUGUUAAGCUGAGUCUAUCCAUAACGUGGACCCAGCACAGGUGUGCUCUAAUUGUCAUUGUGUCAGUUAUCAGGUGGAGACCUGAGAAAGAAAUUCAUAAGAAGACAUCCACUGGUUUAGAGGAAACUGAGAUCCAGAAAGGUCAGUCAAGAGUGAUUCCUUUACUGAACAAUGAGACACUCAUGGAAUCAAUUAUGUUAUGUCUGUGUCAGCCUCGGAAGAUGUACAGAGAAGGUUAAUUUUGUAAACUUGAGUAUAAAAACUACAUUUCAAUGACUUUAUAUUCUCCAUGGGACCUACUCCACUAUCUUGCAUACAACAGAUACACAGAUACUUAUGAGAGAAAAGAACACAGAACCUGUUACAUUUGGCCCAUUUAUUUGAUCUGACAACAACACCAAGAAAGAAGCUCCUGUCCACAGUGAGAAUGGCACUGACACCAAUCCUUGGGUCUGGAGGAGGUGCCAUGUGCAUGUUUGGAAAUAUGGGCAGUGGGAG